rnacentral:rRNA from 1 species
UGGGGAAUAUUGCACAAUGGGCGAAAGCCUGAUGCAGCAACGCCGCGUGAGUGAUGAAGGCCUUCGGGUUGUAAAGCUCUGUCUUUUGGGACGAUAAUGACGGUACCAAAGGAGGAAGCCACGGCUAACUACGUGCCAGCAGCCGCGGUAAUACGUAGGUGGCAAGCGUUGUCCGGAUUUACUGGGCGUAAAGGAUGCGUAGGCGGAUUUUUAAGUGAGAUGUGAAAACCCUAAGCUUAACUUGGGGACUGCAUUUCAUACUGGAAAUCUAGAGUGCGGGAGAGGAGAAUGGAAUUCCUAGUGUAGCGGUGAAAUGCGUAGAGAUUAGGAAGAACACCAGUGGCGAAGGCGAUUCUCUGGACCGUAACUGACGCUGAGGCAUGAAAGCGUGGGUAGCAAACAGGAUUAGAUACCCUGGUAGUCCACGCCGUAAACGAUGAGUACUAGGUGUAGGAGGUAUCGACCCCUUCUGUGCCGUAGUUAACACAAUAAGUACUCCGCCUGGGAAGUACGAUCGCAAGAUUAAAACUCAAAGGAAUUGACGGGGUCAUAGCUGUUUUCCU